GUGUGGCUCAGUGGCAGAGCACUUGCCUAGCAUGUGUGAGACACUGGGUUCGAUUCUCAGCAC
rnacentral:tRNA from 1 species